rfam:Oryza sativa Japonica Group DNA, chromosome 7, cultivar: Nipponbare, complete sequence.
AAUAAGUGCAGCCGUAGAAAUCCGUGUCCAACGUUUGACCGUCCGUCUUAUUUGAAAAAUUUAUGAGAAAAUUAAAAAAAGUUAGUCACACAUAAAGUACUAUUUAUGUUUUAUCAUAUAAUAACAAUAAAAAUAUUAAUCGUAAAAAAAUUAAUAUUUAUGUUGGACACGAAAACUCAGGGUUUGUCAUUUU